GGACUCGGGAACUAUAUGAACUGACUAGCCGGAAUCUGGGGUACACCACCAUCUUGGCCCAAGCCGGACCCCCCGAACGGGGACCAGGACCCCACUCGAACCGACCUGCUCGCAGCUCAACGAGCACCACGGUUCGUCCGGCGAGGAUAGCGCGGCACGGCUCACCCCCUCCGUCCCAGCGAACGGACGCAUGAGGGGUAACGAUCAAAAGUCGAUCUAGCCUCCUGAUCAGUCUCCUGCAACGCGCGGGGGCUCGAGGGCUAGCAUCGCAACCAACGACCACACACGUGACCAAACUCCCCGGCCAAGCUGAACG
rnacentral:lncRNA from 1 species